rnacentral:lncRNA from 1 species
GCGCGGCGGCGCGGCUGGGUGAGCGGAGGCAGAGAGGAUCUUCGCACCCAGAGCCGAGGCUGUACGCGAGGGAGCGCAGCUCGGGGACGAGCCGCCUCCCCACCCCCGCGACGCCGUGCCCGGCUCCGGGGCGCAAGCGCUAUGGCAGGACCCCUUUCCCUUCUUCUAGCUCUUCUGAGAACCCUGGAGGGUAUACACAUUCCAACUGGGAGAUCCAUUUGAUUUCUGCUUCAAGUUAAGAUGUUUUGUAUCUUUACCAUAAAGUGAUUGAUGAUUAGAAGCUGAGGAGAAUUGAUAACACAAGAAGAUAAUGCAUUUCGAAGAGGUUUUGGAAACAAACAGCAACAGAAAAAGAUUCUUCGCUAACUUUUGAGAAAGAAAUGAUCUCAAAAUACCCUUGUGUCUACUGAUAUUUCAAGGAGGUUUGGAAGUCCAAAAGCCGGCUGUUUCUUUUCUGUGGGAUAAAGAUGGAGCAUGUGAAUCAGAACUGGUAAAUUGGAGAGGAGGUCACAAACCGAAUGGAGUUAAGCAAAGUGCAGUGCAAUCUGCAGUGGGAGAAAAGCCAGUUGUACAGAGGGGAAGGACUGGUUACCAUUAAAGUCUUCAAAAUUGGGACCUCAGAGGAGAAAUGAGUGGAGAAAUGAAUGGAGAACAACUCCUUGUUUCUCUCCCUCUCUUCUAGAGGAUGGGGCUAGUGUAAUGAGAUCCAGGUACAAUCCUUGAGAUAUCAGGGAUCCCCAUCCUGGUCUAUUCAGAAGUCCCCCAAACCUUCAGUGCCUAUAGUUCAUGUACUGCCUCUUCCAAAGAGCCUGCCUCGAUGGCUUGAUUGCAGUCAUCAAAUGACAUCUCACUAUUGAGAUGAUGUGUUUCCUUGUCCUUUUCUCAAUGGAAUGUGAGAUUCUUGAGACAAAGAUGUAACAGGCACACAAUAAUUAUUUGUUGAAUGUUGGCUGUAUCAGCUUCUCUGGUUGGAAAUAAUCCCCCCUCCUCUGAGUUCCCCUGGUGCUUUGCACUUACCUCACUCAUGUGAUCUUUUUCACAUUCCACUUUAUACUAUAAUUUCUGUAUUUUUUUAGCUCCACUAUUAUACUCAAAUUCUUCUGCAACAGAGAUGAGAUAAUGCAUGUAAAGCAUUAGUACCAUGUCUGCUGAAUAAAUGAUAGCUAUUAUUAUUUGUGUAAUGAGGCACUUGGAGGAGCAGAAAAUGAAUUUUAUUUAAAAAAACAGCUUUGGAAAAUCACAUUUGAAUAGAUCUUUAUUUUGCAAGAGUCACUUGAGUGAAUUACAAUACUACAAGAGACCUACUGCCUUGGAAGAAGGGAAUAAUACGAUGACUUGGUCUUGAAAUAUCUGUUCAGUGCUAAGCUGCACAACUUCAGGGGACAUCAUCCAUAUUGUAAUAGAUUGUGAUGGACAUAUUCUGAGAGGCACAAUGUGGAUGGUACCCCUGGAGUUCUGCAAGGAAGCUGCCCUGAAAAAAGAAAAGGAAAAGAGGCUUUGACCCUUUAUCUUUGAGGUCCUAGGUUACUGGUCCUCAAAUGGAUUGAUAUGGUACUCACUGAGAAUUAUCAGCAGGAAAGAAGAACAAGGGCCCCAGAGAGGCACUUGCCAUAAGGGAAGGGCUGUCUGCAGAGCACUGGGCUCAGCAAAGCUUUCUGACUGAGGCUAGAUGCCAUUGGGAAACAAGGAUGGACCUGAAUCACUGAAGGGCCACUGUAACCUUAAAAUCUUUCUGGGCUCUCCCCAGCACCAGUCAGAAACACCAAGGUAGAUCUAGAAGUCUCUUUUCCUCUCUAUUUCACCAGCUGCUUUUCCUCGAGGGUCCAGGAAGUUGAGACUGAUGUUUUAAUUUCACUUCAAAUAUACCAUCCUGUACUGUGUAUGCUCAGCAAGUGUUAAUGACUGACCGGCUAGCUGGUUGAGUGAAAAGUUUUAAUAUUGAAAGAAUUGGAGUCAUUCAUUAUUAUUUGAUUCCAGACAUGAGACAGAGUGGCAAUUUGAGGAAAAUAGUCCCAUGUGAUUUUG